ACUAAAUCUAGCCCGAAGAUUAAACUCACCAUAACCAAAGAAAAAUAAAACAAAACAUUUACCUCUCAAUCUAAAGUAUAGGAGAUAGAAAUUUUAAAUACGGCGCUAUAGAGAAAGUACCGUAAGGGAAUGAUGAAAGAAAGAAAUUUAAAGUACAAAAAAGCAAAGAUUACCCCUUGUACCUUUUGCAUAAUGAAUUAACUAGCACAAAACUUAACAAAACGAAUUUUAGCUAAGUAACCCGAAACCAGACGAGCUACUCACAAACAGUUUACCAAGAACUAACUCAUCUAUGUGGCAAAAUAGUGAGAAGAUUUAUGAGUAGAGGUGACAUGCCUAACGAGCCUGGUGAUAGCUGGUUGUCCAGAAAAUGAAUCUCAGUUCAGCUUUAAAAAUACCAAAAAUUUAAAUAAAUUCCACUGUAUUUUUAAAAGUUAAUCUAAAAAGGUACAGCCUUUUAGAUAAAGGAUACAACCUUAAAUAGAGAGUAAGAUCUAAAAACACCAUAGUAGGCCUAAAAGCAGCCACCAAUUAAGAAAGCGUUAAAGCUCAACAAUAAAACUGAUAAAAAUUUCAAAAACAAGAAGCCAACUCCUAGCCCUAAUACUGGACUAAUCUAUUAAAAAAUAGAAGCAAUAAUGUUAAUAUGAGUAACAAGAAAUAUUUUCUCCCUGCAUGAGCUUAAAUCAGUAACUGAUAAUACCCUGAUUAUUAACAGUUAAUAAAAAUAACCCAAUAAUUAACAAUUUAUUAGCUAUACUGUUAACCCAACACAGGAGUGCACUUAAGGAAAGAUUAAAAGAAGUAAAAGGAACUCGGCAAACACAAACCCCGCCUGUUUACCAAAAACAUCACCUCCAGCAUCACCAGUAUUGGAGGCACUGCCUGCCCAGUGACAAUAGUUUAACGGCCGCGGUAUCCUGACCGUGCAAAGGUAGCAUAAUCAUUUGUUCUCUAAAUAAGGACUUGUAUGAAUGGCCACACGAGGGUUUUACUGUCUCUUACUUCCAAUCAGUGAAAUUGACUUUCCCGUGAAGAGGCGGGAAUAAACUAAUAAGACGAGAAGACCCUAUGGAGCUUCAACUAAUCAGUCCAAAGAAAAUAAACUAAUAUUGCUCAGGAAAUAACAAUAUUUUCCUAUGGCCUGACAGUUUCGGUUGGGGCGACCUCGGAGAAUAAAAAAUCCUCCGAACGAUUAUAAAGACUAGACCUACAAGUCAAAUCACUCAAUCGCUUAUUGAUCCAAAAACUUGAUCAACGGAACAAGUUACCCUAGGGAUAACAGCGCAAUCCUAUUCAAGAGUCCAUAUCGACAAUAGGGUUUACGACCUCGAUGUUGGAUCAGGACAUCCAGAUGGUGCAACCGCUAUCAAAGGUUCGUUUGUUCAACGAUUAAAGUCCUACGUGAUCUGAGUUCAGACCGGAGCAAUCCAGGUCGGUUUCUAUCUAUUUAUGUAUUUCUCCCAGUACGAAAGGACAAGAGAAAUUAGGCCAACUUAAAAUAAGCGCCUCAAAGUAACUAAUGAUCCCGUCUCAAUUAGCAAUACAAAAACUCCAGCCCUAGAGACAGGGCUCA
rnacentral:rRNA from 1 species